ACGGUUACCUUGUUACGACUUAGCCCCAGUCACCGGUAUUGCCUUAGGACGCUCCUUGCGGUCACGCACUUCAGGCACUCCCGGCUUCCAUGGCUUGACGGGCGGUGUGUACAAGGCCCGGGAACGUAUUCACCGCGCCGUGGCUGAUGCGCGAUUACUAGCGAAUCCAGCUUCAUGGAGUCGGGUUGCAGACUCCAAUCCGAACUGAGACAGGUUUUCGGGUUCCGCGCCCUGUCGCCAGGUGGCUUCCCGCUGUACCUGCCAUUGUAACACGUGUGUCGCCCCGGACGUAAGGGCCGUGCUGAUUUGACGUCAUCCCCGCCUUCCUCGCAGCUUGCGCCGGCAGUCCCGCCAGAGUCCCCAGCUUUACCUGCUGGCAACUGGCGGUAGGGGUUGCGCUCGUUAUGGCACUUAAGCCGACACCUCACGGCACGAGCUGACGACAACCAUGCAGCACCUCGACACAGACCAUUGCUGGCUACCUCCUUUCAAAAGUAUUCCUGUGUCGUUUGAGCCCGGGUAAGGUUCCUCGCGUAUCAUCGAAUUAA
rnacentral:rRNA from 1 species